rnacentral:rRNA from 1 species
UACGGAGGGUGUAAGCGUUAAUCGGAAUUACUGGGCGUAAAGCGCACGCAGGCGGUUGGAUAAGUUAGAUGUGAAAACCCCGGGCCCAACCUGGGAAUUGCAUUUAAAACUGUCCAGCUAGAGUCUUGUAGAGGGGGGUAGAAUUCCAGGUGUAGCGGUGAAAUGCGUAGAGAUCUGGAGGAAUACCGGUGGCGAAGGCGGCCCCCUGGACAAAGACUGACGCUCAGGUGCGAAAGCGUGGGGAGCAAACAGG